UGGGUUGUGACUCAGUGGUAGAAUGCUCACUUAGCACGUGAGAGGCCCUGGGUUCGAUCCUCAGCACCACAU
rfam:Ictidomys tridecemlineatus contig031646, whole genome shotgun sequence.